GGUGAUCCAGUAUUAAACGGCCGCGGUAUACUAACCGUGCAAAGGUAGCACAAUCAAUUGCCCCAUAAAUCGAGGCUUGUAUGAAUGGCUAAACGAGUCUUAACUGUCUCUUACAGGCGAUCGGUGAAAUUGAUCUCCCUGUGCAAAAGCAGGGAUAACAACAUAAGACGAGAAGACCCUGUGGAACUUCAAAAUCAGCAGCCACCCUAAAACACUUUCAAUCCCACUGGGUUCACGCAUUUAUAGGUUAUUGGCCUGCAUUUUUCGGUUGGGGCGACCUUGGAGAAAAACGAAUCCUCCAAAAAUUGGACCACACCUCCAAACUGAGAGCGACCUCUCAACGUGCUAAAAGCACCCAGACCCAAUAUAAUUGAUCAAUGGACCAAGCUACCCCAGGGAUAACAGCGCAAUCUCCUCCGAGAGUCCGUAUCGACGGGGAGGUUUACGACCUCGAUGUUGGAUCAGGACAUCCUAGUGGUGCAGCCGCUACUAA
rnacentral:rRNA from 1 species